CUUUUGAAUUUGCUCGUAAUUAAAAUCAAGGUCAACUGUAAAAUAAACCACCAUGAGAACAGCUAUAGGGAUACUUAAUUUGAAGGAGGGCUUUAGCACUAUAAAAUCUUAUUUCUUUUCUAAAGAAAAAGAAAAAAGAACUGAAGUGAAGGAGUUCCCAUUGUGGCUCAGUGGUUAACAAACCCAACUGGCAUCCAAGAGGACGUGGGUUCAAGCCCUGGCCUAGCUCAGUGGGUUAAGGAUCUAGCACUGCUGUGAACAAUGGUGUAGGUUGCAGAUGCAGCUUGGAUCCAGCGUUGCUAUGGUUCUGGCGUAGGCCAGUGGCUAAAGCUCAGAUUCGACCCCUAGCCUGGGAACCUCCAUAUGUCAAGGGUGCAGCCUUUAAAAAAAUAAAAAUAAAAACCAAGAACUAAAGUGAACAGCAAAACGUUCAAAUCUGCUUGCUCAUGGUGAUGGCACAAGGCGUUUGCUUAUUAUUUUCUGUGUCUUUUGUUACAAUUUUUCCAUAAAUUAAAUAAGCAUUGUUUAUUUAUUUUGUAAGUGUCUGUGUAAUACUGAGGUCACACAUGCCCCCUGGGGAAGUUGCUUGUGGCCAGUCCCAGAGAUCACCAGUAGAUUUAGUGCCUGGAGAGUCUGUAUCAGUGACAAGUAGAUAGAAAAAGACAGGGUGUCUAGGGAGAAGGGGGCACCCCCACAGCCCCCAUUCCACUACACGCUUUCUGGCGUACUCUGCGGAUUAUCUAGGAAUGUUAAAGAGUCCUCCAAGUUGUCCAUCAACACAAGGAAGAGAUAGCUCAGGGGUUAAGCAUUUCCCUCUGCUCCCUGAGUUGGUCCUAAGGCACCCUCCUCCACACCUGCCCCCAUGCCGGUCAACACCCUGGGGCUUUGAGAUGAAAGCUGAACUCUCAGAACUGCCCUCUCCCCUGGGUCAGGCAAGUUCCAGCACUGCUGCAUUCAUCCAGUUUAUCCACUGGCUGAUGUGCUUGCAUAGCUUACUUAGACAUUCCCUAUGUGUCUGGCUAAUUCCAGAGAGCACUUCUAAGGAUGAUCUGGUAAACUGCAGAGGAGUGCAAUUCUGGAGGAAACGCACAGAAUAUAGUUAAAAUGUUUGGCUUCAAGUGGGAACACCAGGCAUACUUCCUAUUUUGACACACAGAAUUGGAGAUAAACCUUGGGGAAUGUUGGGGGUGGGGGUAAAUUACCUAGAAGGCUGGUGACAAAGUUUAGCUUUGCUAAACUAGUCUGAGUCAAAAUAAGGGAAGAUUCUUCAGGGAACUUGGGAGCGUGGAGCCCUGAGACCACUGAAACUGUGGCCUUGCUCUGAAUCCAAGACCGUUUGGGGGAAAAAAGCCAUCAGAUAUUCCCAUCUCAGCUGGUUUUGUCCCAUCCAUCUCUGGAGAGUCAUAUUGCAGGAAUUUAUUUGGGAAGGAGGGGCAGCAUUAAAGAAGGCAUAUGGCCGAUUACUUUUUAUUAUUUAUCCUUCAAUAGCCAUAUACUAUUGAAAUAAAUACUUUAAAAAAAUGAUGACCAAAAGCCUGAAUUUCUAAAGGGAAGAAAAAGUGGUUUUAGGGUCAGACCAAACACAUUUAUUAAGCAUUCACUCAUUCCUUCAUCUUUUAAAUAUUUUUAAAGCCCCCACUAUGUUUCUGAUAGUGCUACCAGAUUCUAUCCUAAGGUGACCCGCAAGACACAGUGGCCACUUAGAAGGAGAUGCAUUGGGUAAGGAUAUGCUCAGUUUUACCUCCAAUAGAUUAAAUUAAAAAACCCAUUGUUCUUUAAACAUUUGUAUAAUUCCAGACAGUCAUUAUCCAGGUUGUUUUCCAAAGGCCAGGUUUGACUCCGGGUGCCUUUGAUUACUGACACAAGGCGUGGCAGCCACAUGAAACAUCUCUUCGGAACAAAGCACGACCAAGCGACUAUUACACAGGAGGUUUUGCUCAGGAAAAAAGGAACAGAGAAAUAGCUGGGAGUACAAAGCUCUUUAUCUCGGUUUCCAAAGUGCACUGGUUUAACAUUUAAAAAGGCUACUUUGGGGUACAUUUUCCCCUGAAAGUUUCUUUCACACAUUUACAGUCCAGAAGUACAAAAGAGCCACAAACAUCACCCACUCUCUGGAGAGGAUUUUCCUGCUUUUACUUAUAUAUCAGAUUAAAAAAGCUCUUUACUUCUCUUCAAGCCUAAAGACAGGAUCACAUGUGAGUCUGGGUCCUUCCGUUUCAAACGUGAAUUGUUAACCAAGAGAUAAUGAGACCUGACUUUUAACUAGGAAGCCCUGAGGCUGGAGGAUUAGCAUCUUCUGUCCAGAAAGGUCUCUGAGGUAAAUGAGAACCAGGGGGUCUGUGAAUAUCAACAUUGCUACCUCCUUCCUUUUUGCACUAAAAACAUUUGGUUGUUUUCCCUCCUCAGAGACAGCUGCCUUAGGAGAUUUCGAUAUUUAUUUAUUUUUUUACUUCUCUCCAGAGUUUCCUGAAUUUUUUAUUCCCUAAAAGGAGAAAGAGUGUGAAACAGACAAUAUCAGUACCUUUCAGGCAGCUCUCUGGUUGUUGACAAUCUAAAAGAGGAUGGAAGAAAUGUUCCCAGUUACUCUGUAUCUUAUGGACAUGUCCGAAUUAUGUCUUUUUUUUUUUUUUUUUAAAUCUUUUUAGGGCUGCAACCGUGGCACACAGAGGUUCCCAGGCUAGAGGUCUAAUCAGAGCUGCAGCUGCUGGCCUACACCACAGCUCAUGGCAACACCGGUUCCUUAACCCACUGAGCAAGGCAGCCAGGGAUCGAACCUGCAACCUCAUGGUUCCUACUCAGAUUCGUUUCCGCUGUGCCACGACAGGAACUCCUCAAGAAGGCUGAAUUAUGUUCCCUACUUCAUGAAUGCUGGGAUUGCACCUUUUCUUUAAAAAAUUUACUCAAAACACAGUGGAUUCCCAUAGACAAAAUCAUUAAAAGGGUAUUGAUCACUUAGAUAUCUUCUAUUGAAAAAAAAGAUGUUACCUGCUGGAAAAGUCAAAUAGUAGCUAGAGGGGUUUCUCAUUGGUGUCCAGUUGGAACAAAGUGCUAUUAUUUCUGAGCUGCACAGAGCUUCUUGAUGAUCCUGCCUCCCUUGUUGGCUCCCAUGGAAAGUGGGAGCAGAGAAGUAAAGAGACUUUCCCAAACUGCAUCACUAGGCUUCAGCCUUUUGUUCCUUGGUGAAAAAUAUCUCUAAUGGAGACAAAAGAAGGAAACAUCUAAAGAAGCGACUGAGCAUCUACUUAACAAAUUACUACACGGGCAUUUUAAGAAGAGCUAUAUGAAAUAGGUUGAGUUCUGAUGAAAAAUGGUGGCUGCUUGAUGUAUUGCCUGCUUAGCACACUGCCUGCAAGAUGCCAAUAGCAGAUCAUUUUUUAUCUUGCAAUUGCGGAGCUGAAAGGAGAGGGUAGGAGCCCUUUCUGUUGGAUUAAUAUGGAGAUCAUCAAAUCAAAUCUGAGUUAGCCAAGGACAAAGGUGUUGAAUCUGAGAGUUCAACAGGAAUAAAGAGACUUCUGGUGACCUGAGGAUAAGCAUUUUCAAUCAAGAGAAAAAUAUGGAAAACAAAAAUAAAACAAUAGGUGAUAAAAUGGGUUUUUUUGGUUUUUUGUUUUGCUUUGUUUUCUGUUUUUCCUUUUUAGGGCCACACCUGCAGCAUAUGGAAGUUCCCAGGCUAGGGGUUAAAUCAGAGCUAUAGCUGUCAGCCUAUGCCACAGCCACAGCAAUGCCAGAUCUGAGCCACACCUGUGAACCAUACCACAGCUCAUGGCAACACCAGAUCCUUAACCCACUAAGUGAGGCCAGGGAUUGAACCCACAUCCUCAUGGAUACCAGUCGGAUUUGUUUCCUCUGUGCCACAACAGGAACUCCCAAUAAAGUGGUUUUUAAAAAGGUAUAAAGGAUGUAAGAUCGUUUUCUUCACAGGAAUUCUCCCUCUCUCUCUCUUUUUUUUUUUUUUUUUUUGGUCUUUUUGUCUUAUUUUUAUGGCUGCACCUGCAGCAUAUGGACGUUCCCAGGCUAGGGGUAUAAUCAGAGCUGUAGCCGCCGGCCUACACCACAGCCACAGCAACACCAGAUCUGAGCUGCAUCUGCGACCUACACCACAGCUCAUGGCAAUACCAGAUCCUUGACCCACUGAGCAAGGCCAAAGGUCGAACCUGCAACCUCAUGGUUCCUAGUCGGAUUUGUUUCCACUGCACCACGAUGGGAACUUCUUCACAUGAAUUCUUAAAUAUAACUUUCAGUGGACCACUUCAAUUUUAUGUAAAAAUGAGAAAAGAGGGGAAGGAAGAACACAGAGUUUUUAGAUGAAAAUAACUGCUAAUGGGGAGUUCCCGUCGUGGCGCAGUGGUUAACAAUCUGACUAGGAACCAUGAGGUUGCGGGUUUGGUCCCUACCCUUGCUCAGUGGGUUAACGAUCCGGCGUUGCCGUGAGCUGUGGUGUAGGUUGCAGACACGGCUUGGAUCCCGCGUUGCUGUGGCUCUGGUGUAGGGCGGUGGCUACAGCUCCGAUUCAACCCCUAGCCUGGGAACCUCCAUAUGCCGCGGGAGCGGCCCAAGAAAUAGCAACAACAACAACAACAAAAGACAAAAAGACAAAAGACAAAAAAAAAAAAAAAAAAGAAAAUAACUGCUAAUGAAUGAUGAGGCUUUAGACACAUGAAGUCAACAAAAAGUCAUCAGAAAGCCCCACUGAGAGCACAUGAGGUGAGGGGCUGAAAAAGGAAUGUUCAGCAUCCAGCAGGAAAGGACUCAGAAAAAGAGGGGGAAAAAAUGUACCAUCAUGGACACCAAGACAAAUUUUGACAGGACUAAAGGCAUCGUUGGGUUAAGUUUCUAACAUUUGUUAUUGGUUGAAUUAGGUACAAGUGGCUCCAUAGGUAGAGAAAGCCAACUUGCAAUCAAGAGACAAUUCUGCAACAAAAUAAACAAUGUAUCUUGGCGAUGGCAUAGCAGACACCUGCUGUGUGUUUAUUGUUGGCUUAAACCCCACAGGAGGACUCCUGACCCAUUUCUAACAGCAUGGGACCAGUGUACUAAUCAUGACGCUUUUGGCUGUAGGUAGGAGGAAAACCAAAUAAAGCAGCUUUAAUAACAAGAAAAAAAUGUAAUACCUCCCAGAGCAGUAAGUCAGGAGGUGUUAGGGGUGGGCUGGAUGUCCAGGAUCAGUGAACUCAGAUGCCCUGUGCUGUCAGGACCACCUCGAUUCUUUCUGUCUGAUGUACCAUCCUCUGCAUGUGUGCUAGCUCUCCUCAUCUUCACAAGAUCGCAGUAGCAGCUCUGGGCAUCACAUCCUGCUGCAGUGACAACCAACACUGGAUCCUUAACCUGCUGCACCACAAUUGGCAAGAAUUAUGCCAAACACCACAGUAAUUUUCUUCUUCUGUCUGGUUAAUUACACUUAGCGUUUUGACUGCAAGGUCCAUCUAUGUUGUCAUAAACGGCAGGAUUCCCCUCCCCCCUCUUUUUAAGGUCAUGUCAACAGCACGUGGAAGUUCCUGGGCUAGGGGUUGAAUCAGAGCUGCAGCUGCCAACACAUACUACAGCCAUGGCCACAGCCACAUUGGAUCCGAACCACAUCUGCGACUUCCCCCUGAGUUUAUGGCAAUGCCAGAUACUCAACCCAUGGAGCAAGGCCAGGGAUCAAACCUCAAGGACCCUAUGUUGGGUUCUUAACCCAAUGAGCCACAAUGGGAACUCCAGGAUUUUCUUCUUUUUUAUGGCUAAACAUUCUUCUAUUACAUAUUUCCCACAUCUUUAUCCAUGCAUCUGUGGAUGGACACUUAGGUUGUUUCCAUGUCUUGGCCGUCAUAAAUAAUGCUGCAGUGAAUGUGGAGAUGCUGAUCUCUCUGACAUGUUUUCAUUUUCAAAGGCUGUUCUUAAACUAGCCAGUGACAAGAAGAACGGGAUUACCAACUGGUUUAGAUUCAUCAAGAUACAUCUCCAAGAGCGACUGGGAGGGUCCAGCCUCUCCAAAACCCAAUAGAUAUCUGAAUAAAAUCAGGGUUUUAUUGGUAAGGAAGCAGUGUAUGUGGGAGAAAGGCCAUUGGGUAGGCGACCAUGGUAUCAGCCAUAACUUCUGGCUCUUAAUUUGCACAUAAAACCAGUCACUCUUUGUGGCGUAGAGUU
rnacentral:lncRNA from 1 species